rnacentral:rRNA from 1 species
GGAAUUGUUCGCAAUGGGCGCAAGCCUGACGACGCAAUGCCGCGUGGCGGAUGAAGACCUUCGGGUCGUAAACUCCUUUCGACCGAGAUGAACGGCUGCCGGCCUAACACGCCGGCACAUUGCCCGUAUCGCGGGCAGCAGCCCCGGCUAACUCCGUGCCAGCAGCCGCGGUAAUACGGGGGGGGCGAGCGUUGUUCGGAAUUCCUGGGCGUAAAGGGUUCGUAGGUGGCCUUUUAAGUCAGAUGUGAAAUCCCUCGGCUCAACCGAGGAACUGCAUCUGAAACUGGAGGGCUCGAGUGCAGGAGAGGAACGCGGAAUUCCAGGUGUAGCGGUGAAAUGCGUAGAUAUCUGGAGGAACACCGGUGGCGAAGGCGGCGUUCUGGACUGCAACUGACACUGAGGAACGAAAGCCAGGGGAGCAAAC